CAGCAGACCGCCUUCUAUGUAGGCCCUGUGCAGCAGACCGCCUUCUAUGUAGGCCCUGUGCAGCAGACCGCCUUCUAUGUAGGCCCUGUGCAGCAGACAGCUUCCUAUGUAGGCCCUGUGCAGCAGACAGCUUCCUAUCUAGGCCCUGUGCAGCAGACAGCUUCCUUUCUAGGCCCUGUGCAGCAGACAGCUUCCUAUCUAGGCCCUGUGCAGCAGACAGCUUCCUAUCUAGGCCCUGUGCAGCAGACAGCUUCCUAUCUAGGCCCUGUGCAGCAGACAGCUUCCUAUCUAGGCCCUGUGCAGCAGACAGCUUCCUAUCUAGGCCCUGUGCAGCAGACAGCUUCCUAUCUAGGACCUGUGCAGCAGACAGCUUCCUAUCUAGGAGCUAUGCAGCAGACCACCUAUGUAGGCCCUGUGCAGCAGACAGCUUUCUAUGUUGGCCCUAUGCAGCAGACAGCCUACUAUGUAGGCCCUAUGCAGCAUACAACCUUCUAUGCAGCAGACAGUCUCCUAUCUAGGCCCUAUGUAGCAGACAGCCUGCUAUGUAGGCCCCUAUGCAACAGACAGCCUUCUAUGUAGGCCCUAUGCAGCAGACAGCCUCCUAUGUAGGCCCUAUGCAGCAGACAGCCUCCUAUGCAGCAGAUAGCCUGCUAUUUAGGCCCUAUGCAGCAGACAGCCUUCUAUCUAGGCCCUAUGCUGCAGACAGCCUUCUAUCUAGGCCCUAUGCAGCAGACAGCCUUCUAUCUAGGCCCUAUGCAGCAGGCAGCCUUCUACGUAGGCCCUAUGUAGCAGACAGCCCUCUAUGUAGGCCCUAUGCAGCAGACAGCCCUCUGUGUAGGGGGUGCACUACUUUUAGGGCCCUAGUCAUAUGUAGUGCACUUCUGUCAUAGGGUGCCAUUUGGGAUGCACACUGACUUACCACCAGCAGGCCUCCCUCUAUAUCCCUCUAUAUCCCUCUGCCUCCCUCUAUAUCCCUCUGCCUCCCUCUAUAUCCCUCUGCCUCCCUCUAUAUCCCUCUGCCUCCUUGUACUUCCUUGUACCUCCCUGACCUGGACCUUUGGCACUGACUCCACCCUAUGGUAUUACACUGUUUGCUAUUUGACUGCCCCUUUAUCUAGGGAGGGACUCUGUCCCCAUCUUAUAACACAGCCUGGCCAGCCAGUCCAGCCAUUACAGCCUCAUUUACCUGAAUGUAGGCGCUGAUUCUAGGCAUUCUAACUCUAUGCUGUACUCGGGUCUCAGCGGACUGGCCUCACUCUGGUUGGCCUCUAUGCUCUACUCUGGUCUCAGCGGACUGGCCUCACUCUGGUUGGCCUCUAUGCUCUACUCUGGUCUCAGCGGACUGGCCUCACUCUGGUUGGUCUCUAUGCUGUACUCGGGUCUCAGCGGACUGGCCUCACUCUGGUUGGUCUCUAUGCUGUACUCGGGUCUCAGCGGACUGGCCUCACCCUGAUUGGUUACUGUGACAGUUCUGUCAAUGGUACAGUAGAGAUGAUCACAUGUUUCUCUUUUAACGGUUGUUCCAGUGUUAUUCAGGUGUUCUGGCCCCUCCCCCUCUGGCCCAUUCCUGAUUUUGUGAAGCACGGAUCAGUCCCGCUUUCUUCUGAGUUGUUCAACUGUUGACCUCUGUUGGCAUCAGCUUUGGAAUAAAACACUUGAAACACUGAUGUCUCAUGGUAUUUCUCACGGGCACACAGACACGUUGUCACAGUGUUUUUGGGUUGAUGGGUGGCGUAGGGCAUGUGUGCUGUUGUAGGGUUGAGGCCAAACCAGCGGCUCUAGUUUUGAUGUGGUCAGACACACCCUCUCUCCUUCAGAGGUUGAGCCCCAUGUUGGUGUCGAUCACUGGGGCGUUGGUAGAUCCAGACUGUGAUAACCUGACCUUGUAUUAUAACCCCGUCUUUAAGUCUCUUGGCUUUGAAGUGGCUGAUUUUCUGUCUGUGUCAGGCAGUUGAGGAAGGAAAUCCUCCUGAUCUUCACAUCACAGCAUGUCGAUUACGGUCAGGGUGUGACCGUGUGUGUAUGUGUGUGUGUGGCCGUGUGUGUGUGUGUGUGUGUGUGACCGUGUGUGUGUGUGUGUGUGUGUGUGUGUGAGACCGUGUGUGUGUGACCAUGAGUGUGUGUGUGGGCUGCGUCGCUCGUAGGAAGAUCAUGGCACCUGAUAGUUAGUUUUAAAGAAUUGUGGACAUUUCUUUGAGAAAAUUGACUUCUUGUGACCAAUGCUUUUCUGGUUUAGAGGAAGUUCAGUAACAUCACAAUGUCGCGGUGACACGGGUCGUGUGGUUCUGCCUGUCACCACCUCCACUAUGAAAUGAGCAAACACUGAUUAUCUCAGUACACAUUUAACAUCUAUACACACAACACAUUCUCAUAGACUGCUUGCAUAUCAACUGAAUUUGCCUGUUUUAGGGAAGCUUAACUAAAACAGUUUACCAAGCAGGCAUUCAAAUCAUACUGGAUUAGUUUUCUUCUAAAGCUGCUUCUAAUAAAAACAUUUUUUUUUAAGAAACACUUGAAAAAUAAUCACAUCUCAUUUUAAAAUGGACUGUAAAUUUCAAGGACAGAUCACUUUGGCAUUAUUUCAGAAUGUAAAAUGUAGCCUGAUACGUUGAGGCGACUGCAGAGCUGCACAUUUAUUUUGUUCCUUAUGUAACAUAUGGCUGCUGGUUGGAUGUGGAAAUGUGAUGUUGAAACUGAUGAACAGACUGCUUUACCACCAAUAGACAGCAUACCUUUAGAAUAAAUUGGAUAUCUGACCAAUUCCUCAUGAUCUAUUUAUUGCAACAGACAAUGUCAGCCACAAUAUGUAUUGCGGUUGACAUUAAAGCAAUAUACUCCAAAUUUAACUGAAACAUUUUGUUCAAUAUAUUUUAAAUGUUUUGCAGCGGGGCAAUGAGUCAAUGUGCGAUCUGUUUUCAAAUGCUAAUAUUUUGCCCGUUUCACCCAUAUUUUUUGGUUUUGCACAUAACAAUUUGAAGACAAAAUAUACUUGCAAAAUGUAGCAGAACCACACUUCGCUUACUACCACCUAACAUGCUGGUUUUAAACAUUAAAUCGUGCUCUUAUGGAUUGUGAAACCAAGCCAGAUGAACUGAAAGUACAGCUGUUUGCAGAUGCAACACUUUCCAUUAUUAUUGCCGUCCAAUUGGCGUCAUCAUCUGAAGAAAUGUAAACAUGGAAACUGAAAACCCAAAGCGACGACUUGAUUAAGAUCAAUGCAUCACUCUCUUCAAAUGGUACAUUUGAAUUUUUUCUCUAUUUCACCUUCAUAUUAAAUGGCAAGUUUACUCAUUUACUUGUGGCCUUAUUCUUCUUUACGUUCGUGUAGGUGAUCGGCCAAACGUUUGUUUCUCCGUGUGAUGUUUUGUAGCCAACUUUCCCCUGCAUUGUCAUUGUCUACAAAGUAAUAUGAAAAAUAUGUAAGUAUUUUAAAAAUGCUUCAACUAAAAAAGCAUCCAAAUUCUCAAUAUUUUCACAUUUAUUUUGAAAAAACAUUCCACUGUCCCAUGAAUCCACUUGUUUUUAAUGAGGUAAACAGCAUCAUGGAUCAAACAUGGAUUCAGUGGACAAAUGUAAACAGAGUAUUGACAAAUUAUCCAGAAUAACAAUGCUGUUUGUCAGGCACUCCUAUCUUCAUUGUCAAGUCCCCAUUGAGAUGGAAGCACACAGAAGAGGUUCAAAUUGGCAGAUCAGAGGCCAUAUCCCCGUUGAGGCGGGAUAUCCCAUAAGUGGCACAAGAGCCUGGGUUAAGAUGUACCGUUAGAGCUGUUCCUGAAGGUAGGGAUGGGCUGUUCCCCAUGCUGCUCUGUAGGCAAGCACCAUGGUCUUGUGGUGGAUGCCAGCCGCAACCUGUGGAAGCAAGUCAUUGCCUUGAUACUUCCAGACAAUAGAAGAAUGUAGUGGAGGCUGUGGACUUAACCCAGAGAAAGAGCAGCUCUGUGUUGUUGAGGUUUUGCUUUAGGUGGUCGGCUGACAUCCAAGCAGAGAGGCAGGUCCCCUGAGUGUCAGAGGGAGAAUCAAUAGAGUCCUCCUAGCAGUAACCAUUUGAGAAUAUGCCUAAGCCCAGGAAGGGUUUUUUGUUACCUGUCUACAUACAGUGCCCUCCAUAAUUAUUGAGAGAAUUAUUAUUUUUUACUGCAAGUUUGGAUUUUAAAUCAAAGAAUUGUUCUUUCGAAGUGAAUAUUGUCAGGUGUUAUUGGAGGGUAUUUGUGAACAUAAUUGUUUCACCAUUUAGAAAUGACAACACUAUACAUUAGUCAGGCAUGUUCCUUUGUGCGGUCGACAGACCUGUCAGUGUCUGCUGCUGAUUCUCGGCUUUGCGUCUGCGAGUUGGAGUCUGCUAUUGGCAUCUCGAAAUGAGUACCAAUGAGGUGUCAAUAAAAUCAUGGAAGCCAUUAUGAGGCUGAAAAUAAAAAAACCUGAACGCCGGAUGACCGAUAAAUGCUCACCAUAGAGGAAAAAAACCUGACAGAUCAGGAACACUCCAGUAGGUAGGCGUGGAUGCGUCAGCUGCUACCACACAGAGAAGGCUUCACCCAUCGAACAACCGAGCUGCACUGGUAGGUGCAAAAACACUGUUUAGCCUCAAAACAGGAUGGACUAGAAAAGCACCUAAAUCAGGCUGCAGCUGCAGAAUGAAUUCUGAAGUGUAGAGGAACAUGUCCAGUAGCAUGUAGUUUGGUGCGUAGGUGUAAAGAUGAACGGUAAGGCAUUAGAUUGACAAACCACACUCUGUCCGGCACGCUACCAGACUCUGUGGACUGUACUCGGCCUUGUCUUAGGUGGUUAGUGGUCUGUUGUCGUCCCCUUGUUUUCUGGUGCUUGGUGAGUGGAGCUACACUACUUGGCCAAAAACAUAUUCAACUAUUUCAACUAGACAUAUUGUUGACAGGUGAAUUAAGUUAAGCACACUGCAAUGCAAACGACACAGACAAACAUUGGCAGUGGAAUGGCAUGUACUGAACAGCUCAGAGACUUUUAAAGUGGCACCACAUGUGAAGUCACCUUUCCCACAAGUCAGUUUCUGAAAUAUCUGUGAUGCUAGAGUAUCCCCAGUCAUCACAAUAAGUGCUAUUAUUGUGAAGUGGAAACUUCUAGGAGCAAUAACAGCUCCGCUGCCGAGUGGUGGAUGCAAUGGAUGACUGAAGUUCCCUGAACGGCGUCGUCGAGACGCUGAACCAUGUGGAGCGUAAGAAAUCCAAAUUCCCAACUGCCUCUGGAAGCAACAUCACCAUCAGAACUGUCCAUUGGACUCCGGAGUAAUGGAUUCUCAGUCCCUGUACUGUUUUAGCAUUAAAAUGUCCUCGAUGAACAAAGCAAACUUAACCCCAUCCCCAAAGUCCUCCUUCAUGUGCGGGUGAUAAAUUAUUUCAUCAGUUUCCUGCUGUCGCUCUGCACCCGUUCUGAUCUCAAUUUAUCCACACUGUGGGACCACUCAAGUCAGCCCUGAGGCCUUAGAUUUUUAUUUUAACUUUAUUUUAGCAGGGAUGACAGACUGAGUCCUGGAUCUGUUGUGGGCGGUGUCCUGUUAGGUACACAAACAAAAUAAUAAUAAACAUUUCAAAACAGAGACUUACAAUUCAACAAAAACAAUCACAGACAACAUAUUGAUCCUUCUCCAUUAGAUUUUUAACAUCGACAUGGGACCCCAGAGUGUUUAAGUUUGUUCUGGAGUUUGUUCCAUGAAUAAGGAGUGAAGUGAUUGAAAGCAGUGGUAUGCAACUCUGUGGAGACAACUAGAGUCUUUAAUGUAAACCACGUCUGUGAUCUGGUUUUGAAAUGUGUUGGUCUGGUGGAAAUUAAAGAAUAUGCAAAUGGAAGUGCUUUGUAAAUAAACAAGAGCGCAUGUUGCUCUCACCUCACAGAUAUAGGCCCAACCCACAUGUUGAUUUAGACUACAGUGAUGCGUUCUUUAACUAUCACCCAUUAUAACCCUAACCUUCACAGAUAGAGGCCCAACCCACAUGUUGAUAUCGAAUACAGUGAUGAGUUCUGUAACUGUCACUGGUCAAAAACCUCAGUGCACCAUGGGAAAUAGCAUCCAGGGGUUUUAGUGUGUUUGCUGAAGCAUGCAGAUAGAUAUCACCAUAAUCUAAAAUGGUCAUAAAAGUAGCCUGAACAAUUAGUCUUCUAUUAACAGAGGUCAGACAAGCCCUGUCUCUAUAGAAGAACCCUACAUGUUUUUUAAAAGAAAGCCUAUCAUCUAGUAUUUAUAUCCAGAGAUUGUUCGAUAUCAUCCAAUCUGGUAUGUACACAUGUUUAAACUGAGAGAUUUGACCUAGAAGAAACAUUCUUUGCAUUUAAAACAAGUUUAAACUGUAUAUUAGAUCUCUUUAGAAUUAAAAAAUCAGUCAAUUAUUGAAGCCCAAGAAACCCCUUUUGAGUGACUCUAAGGGCUCAGACUUGACACCUUCGACCAUGACAGCCUGAGUUCUGUCUUUAAGAUGAUUAUAAAACCACUAGCAGGCAUCAGUGCCAAGUCCUAUAGAUGACAGCUUACUCAGAAGGAUAGCAUGGGCUACAGUGUUGAAGGCUUUUGACUAGUCCACGAACAACAGCACAGCACAAGGCAUUAGCAAAAUAAUAUACAACAAGCGUGGUGGCCAUUGUGGUACUGUGUUUAGGUCUAAAACCAGACUGAUGUAAAGAAUACUAUUAACAGAAAAAAAAAGACUAAAGACUCAAGGUUCUUUGCCCGACAAGGGAGUCUAGAGAUGAUUAAGUCACUACUGCCCUUAUGUAAUGUGUGGAAGAUUAAUUAAUUAUGUUUGAAUAAAUUCCAUAUUAAUGCUGCAUGAAUACACUGAUCAGCCAUAACAUUAUGACCACCUGCCUAAUAUUGUGUAGGUCCCUCUUUUGCCGCCAAAACAGUCCUGACCUGUCGAGGCAUGGACUCCACUAGACCUCUGAAGGUGUGCUGUGGUAUCUGGCACCAAGACGUUAGCAGCAAAUCCUUUUGGAUUGAGAUCUUGGGAAUUUGGAGGCCAAGUCAACACUUUGAACUCGUUGUUGUGUUACUCAAACCAUUCCUGAACCAUUUUUGCUUUGUGACAGGGCGCAUUAUCCGGCUGAAAGAGGCCAGUGACAUCAGGGAAUAUCGUUGCCAUGAAAGGGUGCACAUGGUCUGCAACAAUGCUUAGGUAGGUGGUACGUGUCAAAAUAACAUCCACACGAAUGUCAGGACCCAAGGUUUCCCAGCAGAACACUGCCCAAAGCGUCACACUGCCUCUGCCGGCCUGCCUUCUUCCCAUAGUGCAUCCUGGUGUCAUGUGUUCUCCAGGAAAGUGACACACACACACCCGGCCAUCCAUGUGAUGUAAAAGAAAACAUGAUUCAUCAGACCAGGCCACUGUCUUCCAUUACUCUGUGGUCCAGUUCAGAUACUCACAUGUCCACUGUAGGCGCUUUCGGCCGUGGACGGGGUCAGCAUGGACACCCUGAC
ensembl:lncRNA